rnacentral:rRNA from 1 species
UAUGGAAAAGCAAAUGUAGGCAUGAGUAACGAUAAUGCGGGAGAGUAACCCGCACACCGCAAGACCAAGGUUUCCUGAUCAACGCUAAUCGGAUCAGGGUUAGUCGGGUCCUAAGGGUAAGCCGAACGGCGAUCUCGAUGGAUAAUCGGUUAAUAUUCCGAUACUAACAUAUACCUCGAUGGAGAGACGAAGGAACGUAAGUGCCGCCACCUGACGGAAUAGGUGGUUAAAGGGCGUAGGUAUAGGGGCAGAUUAAGAGUUAGUCCUUGCUGAAACCUGACAGUACAGAGAGCCUACGGGCAAUUUGAUAGAGCACCCAAGUCGACUUCCGAGAAAAUCUUCUAAGUUAUAGUAUAUGUUACCCGUACCGUAAACCGACACAGGUGGUCGAGGAGAGUAUCCUAAGGUGCUCGAGUGAAUCACGGUUAAGGAACUAGGCAAAUUAACCCCGUAACUUCGGGAAAAGGGGUCCCUAUGAAAGUAGGGCGCAGCGAAGAGGUCCAGGCGACUGUUUAUCAAAAACACAGGGCUCUGCAAAUUCGAAAGAAGACGUAUAGGGCCUGACACCUGCCCGGUGCUGGAAGGUUAAGAGGGGAUGUCAUCGCAAGAGAAGCAUUGAAUCGAAGCCCCAGUAAACGGCGGCCGUAACUAUAACGGUCCUAAGGUAGCGAAAUUCCUUGUCGGGUAAGUUCCGACCUGCACGAAUGGUGUAACGAUCUGGACACUGUCUCAACCGUGAGCUCGGUGAAAUUGUAGUCCCGGUGAUGAUGCCGGGUACCCGCAACGGGACGAAAAGACCCCGUGAACCUUUACUAUAGCUUAACGCUGAAUUUGGGUACACAAUGUGUAGGAUAGGCCGGAGGCUUUGAAGCGGGCACGCCAGUGUUCGUGGAGCCGACGUUGAAAUACGGCCCUUUGUGUAUUUGAGUUCUAACCCUGCGAAGGGGACACCGUUUGGUGGGUAGUUUGACUGGGGUGGUCGCCUCCAAAAGCGUAACGGAGGCUUCCCAAGGUACCCUCAGCACGAAUGGUAACCGUGCGCGGAGUGCAAUAGCAUAAGGGUGCUUGACUGUGAGACAUACAAGUCGACCAGGUACGAAAGUAGGGUAUAGUGAUCCGGUGGUUCUGCGUGGACUGGCCAUCGCUCAAAGGAUAAAAGGUACUCCGGGGAUAACAGGCUGAUCGCCGCCAAGAGCUCAUAUCGACGCGGCGGUUUGGCACCUCGAUGUCGGCUCGUCACAUCCUGGGGCUGGAGAAGGUCCCAAGGGUUCGGCUGUUCGCCGAU